rnacentral:rRNA from 1 species
GGUUAAGUGACUAAGCGUACACGGUGGAUGCCUAGGCAGUCAGAGGCGAUGAAGGACGUGCUAAUCUGCGAUAAGCGUCGGUGAGCUGAUAUGAAGCGUUAUUAGCCGGCGAUGUCCGAAUGGGGAAACCCAGUGCAAUCCGUUGCACUAUCGUUAAGUGAAUACAUAGCUUAACGAGGCGAACCAGGGGAACUGAAACAUCUAAGUACCCUGAGGAAAAGAAAUCAACCGAGAUUCCCCUAGUAGCGGCGAGCGAACGGGGAAGAGCCCAGAACCUGAAUCAGUUUGUGCAUUAGUGGAAGCGUCUGGAAAGUCGCGCGAUACAGGGUGAUAGCCCCGUACACGAAGGUGCACAGCUGUGAGUUCGAUGAGUAGGGCGGGACACGUGUUAUCCUGUCUGAAUAUGGGGGACCAUCCUCCAAGGCUAAAUACUCCUGACUGACCGAUAGUGAACCAGUACCGUGAGGGAAAGGCGAAAAGAACCCCGGCGAGGGGAGUGAAAUAGAACCUGAAACCGUGUACGUACAAGCAGUGGGAGCAUCCUUUAGGGUGUGACUGCGUACCUUUUGUAUAAUGGGUCAGCGACUUAUAUUUUGUAGCAAGGUUAACCGAAUAGGGGAGCCGUAGGGAAACCGAGUCUUAACUGGGCGUCUAGUUGCAAGGUAUAGACCCGAAACCCGGUGAUCUAGCCAUGGGCAGGUUGAAGGUUGGGUAACACUAACUGGAGGACCGAACCGACUAAUGUUGAAAAAUUAGCGGAUGACUUGUGGCUGGGGGUGAAAGGCCAAUCAAACCGGGAGAUAGCUGGUUCUCCCCGAAAGCUAUUUAGGUAGCGCCUCGUGAACUCAUCUUCGGGGUAGAGCACUGUUUCGGCUAGGGGUCAUCCCGACUUACCAACCCGAUGCAAACUACGAAUACCGAAGAAUGUUAUCACGGGAGACACACGGCGGGUGCUAACGUCCGUCGUGAAGAGGGAAACAACCCAGACCGCCAGCUAAGGUCCCAAAGUCAUGGUUAAGUGGGAAACGAUGUGGGAAGGCAUAGACAGCCAGGAUGUUGGCUUAGAAGCAGCCAUCAUUUAAAGAAAGCGUAAUAGCUCACUGGUCGAGUCGGCCUGCGCGGAAGAUGUAACGGGGCUAAACCAUGCACCGAAGCUGCGGCAGCGACGCUUAGGCGUUGUUGGGUAGGGGAGCGUUCUGUAAGCCUGCGAAGGUGGCCUGUGAGGGCUGCUGGAGGUAUCAGAAGUGCGAAUGCUGACAUAAGUAACGAUAAAGCGGGUGAAAAGCCCGCUCGCCGGAAGACCAAGGGUUCCUGUCCAACGUUAAUCGGGGCAGGGUAAGUCGACCCCUAAGGCGAGGCUGAAAAGCGUAGUCGAUGGGAAACAGGUUAAUAUUCCUGUACUUGGUGUUAUUGCGAAGGGGGACGGAGAAGGCUAGACCGGCCGGGCGACGGUUGUCCCGGUUUAAGCGUGUAGGUGGGGUAACUUGGCAAAUCCGGUUACCUUUAACACUGAGGCGUGAUGACGAGGCACUACGGUGCUGAAGUGGUUAAUGCCCUGCUUCCAGGAAAAGCCUCUAAGCUCCAGAUAACACUGAAUCGUACCCCAAACCGACACAGGUGGUCAGGUAGAGAAUACCAAGGCGCUUGAGAGAACUCGGGUGAAGGAACUAGGCAAAAUGGUGCCGUAACUUCGGGAGAAGGCACGCUGGCACGUAGGUGAAGUCCCUUGCGGAUGGAGCCGAAGCCAGUCGAAGAUACCAGCUGGCUGCAACUGUUUAAUAAAAACACAGCACUCUGCAAACACGAAAGUGGACGUAUAGGGUGUGACGCCUGCCCGGUGCUGGAAGGUUAAUUGAUGGGGUCAGCCGCAAGGCGAAGCUCUUGAUCGAAGCCCCAGUAAACGGCGGCCGUAACUAUAACGGUCCUAAGGUAGCGAAAUUCCUUGUCGGGUAAGUUCCGACCUGCACGAAUGGCGUAAUGAUGGCCAGGCUGUCUCCACCCGAGACUCAGUGAAAUUGAACUCGCUGUGAAGAUGCAGUGUACCCGCGGCAAGACGGAAAGACCCCGUGAACCUUUACUAUAGCUUGACACUGAACAUUGAACCUUGAUGUGUAGGAUAGGUGGGAGGCUUUGAAGUGUGGACGCCAGUCUGCAUGGAGCCGACCUUGAAAUACCACCCUUUAAUGUUUGAUGUUCUAACCUGGUCCCGUGAUCCGGGAUAGGGACAGUGUCUGGUGGGUAGUUUGACUGGGGCGGUCUCCUCCCAAAGAGUAACGGAGGAGCACGAAGGUUAGCUAAUCCUGGUCGGACAUCAGGAGGUUAGUGCAAAGGCAUAAGCUAGCUUGACUGCGAGAGUGACGGCUCGAGCAGGUGCGAAAGCAGGUCUUAGUGAUCCGGUGGUUCUGAAUGGAAGGGCCAUCGCUCAACGGAUAAAAGGUACUCCGGGGAUAACAGGCUGAUACCGCCCAAGAGUUCAUAUCGACGGCGGUGUUUGGCACCUCGAUGUCGGCUCAUCACAUCCUGGGGCUGAAGUAGGUCCCAAGGGUAUGGCUGUUCGCCAUUUAAAGUGGUACGCGAGCUGGGUUUAGAACGUCGUGAGACAGUUCGGUCCCUAUCUGCCGUGGGCGUUGGAAGAUUGAGAGGGGCUGCUCCUAGUACGAGAGGACCGGAGUGGACGCACCGCUGGUGUUCGGGUUGUGAUGCCAAUUGCAUUGCCCGGUAGCUACGUGCGGAAAAGAUAAGCGCUGAAAGCAUCUAAGCGCGAAACUUGCCUCGAGAUGAGUCUUCCCUUGGACCUUGAGUCCACUGAAGGAACGUUUAAGACUAAGACGUUGAUAGGCUGGGUGUGUAAGCGUAGCGAUACGUUGAGCUAACCAGUACUAAUGAUCCGUGAGACUUAACCUU